GAUGAACGCUAGCGGCAGGCUUAACACAUGCAAGUCGAGGGGCAGCACGGGUAGCAAUACCUGGUGGCGACCGGCGCAAGGGUGCGUAACGCGUGAGCAACAUGCCCUAUACAGGGGGAUAAUCCAGGGAAACUUGGUCUAAUAUCCCAUAGUAUUUAGAGGAGGCAUCUUCUAUAAAUUAAAGCUUCGGUGGUAUAGGAUUGGCUCGCGUGACAUUAGCUAGAUGGUGAGGUAACGGCUCACCAUGGCAAUGAUGUCUAGGGGUUCUGAGAGGAAGGCCCCCACACUGGGACUGAGACACGGCCCAGACUCCUACGGGAGGCAGCAGUGAGGAAUAUUGGACAAUGGAUGGAAAUCUGAUCCAGCCAUGCCGCGUGCAGGAGACAGCCCUAUGGGUUGUAAACUGCUUUUAAUGGGAGCAAUAAGGUCUACGUGUAGACUGAUGAGAGUACCAUAUGAAUAAGC
rnacentral:rRNA from 1 species